UGUGUUCAACAUAAGUUUGUAAGUAUAGGAGGAUGGGAAGAGGAACGAUUGGUAGGAUGGUGUAGUAAUUUAGAGGGUGAUAAUGUAGAAAUAGUUAGCAUAUGAGAGUCUUACAGCACAGAAAUUGUAUAUGGGAGUAGAGUAAAUGGAGAGAAAGAAUGUUACGGGAGUGCAAGAAUGGGUGAAGUUUUAUCAACAAAUUUUGUUGAGAACAAGAAAAAAAUCUUAGAUUAAAAAGUUAAGAAAGCCUAAAGAACAAAUGAAGUUGGCUGUUUAAAGCAAAAGAGGGGUGAUGUUAGGUUCUGGGAAGAUUUUGAGGAGCUAUUAAAUGUUGAAGAAAGAGAGGCAGCCAUUUCAUGCAUUGGGCAGGGAAGUAUAACUUCUUGGAAAAGUAAGGAAGAACCAGGUUUGAGUGAGGAAAAAGUGCAUGAGGCAGUGGGUAGAAUGAAAUGGGGUAAAGCAGCUGAGAGAGCUGGGAUUAAGACAGAGAUGUUAAAAGUAAAUGGGGAUGUAGUUUUGGAGUGGUUGGUGCAUUUGUUCAAUAUGUGCAUGAAAGAAGGAUAGGCAGAGGGCAUGGAUAUUUCCUUUGUAUAAAGGAAAGGGAUGAGAGAAAGAGAGAGAGAGAGAGAGUAAAAGUUAAGGGAAUAAGCUUAAGUAUAACAGGUAAAGGGUGUGAUAGAAUUAUUAUUGAAAGAGUUAAUAAUAAGACAAGGAUUAUACUGGAGCAUGGAGGAUUUAGGAAGUUUCAAGAUGUGUAGACCAUGUAUUUUAUGUGGAAAAAGACACUUAUGUACAGUUCAGUGUCUUUUUCCACAUCUUGUCAGUAUCACCAUACCAUUUCCUCAUGUAUUUUAUAUUGAAGGACAAGUGAAAAAUACUUAAGGGUAAGGAACUUUUUGUUGAAUUUAUGUAUUUAAAAAAAUUCAUGUGAAAGGGUGGCUAGGGAAGCAGUGUGGCAUAUUUAAAUGUAUGGAAAAGGUAGUAGGUUACUAAAAGCAGUGAAGAGUUUUUAUGGGUAUAAUGAGGCUCAUGGAGUGAAUAGUGAGAAAGAGAGGGAGGCACCCCAACUGCUACCCACAUCUAUGCAAAACUUCAUUCCUCCCACACCACACACUCAGCCACGGUAGUGAGCAUAUGUAAAGAGAAAUAUUAUUAGAUUUAGCACUGGAGAGGGUGGAAGUGAAAAGUACAGAGAAGCCAAAAGCAGGAUAUAGUUUUGCUGCUGUUUGCCCCUUCACAUGUGGUGUUCUUCACUGUAGUUUAUAUUGUACUGUAACUCUGGUCUGUUUAAUUAUCAAAUAUUGUGAUAUUAAGCAAUGGUUAAAGUACUACAGUAUUUGGUAGUAAAAAAUUAAACUUGAUUAGAUAUGGAAUAUUAUGGCUCAAGAAAAAUUCUCCGAUUGUAAUACGGGGUUCUAUGGAAAAAUUGAACUCUGAUACAUGAACAGUCAACUCUGGGUGAAUUGUAAGAAAUGCAUUCAGUAUGUACAAAUAAAAAUUGUGUAAGUAGGAUUAAAAUCAUGAUGCAGUGGAAUGAAAUUAAUAAGAUAACAGUAAACAUAAUUUUAUAGUAAUUAAAGCAAUUUUAUUUUAAUUGAAUUACAUGCUUUAGCUAUUUUAGCACACAGUACAGUAUUUUUUUAAGCCUCAGUUUAAAUUUUUUUAGUGAUAUAAUUUUUUAAUUCAUCUGGUAAGUUGGUGAGUAAGACAAUGAUAGCAGAGGACUGUUGUACAGUUUUACCACAAAUUGUCAUUAUAAAGUUCCUAAAAGAAAAUCACAACUUACAUAAUAAAUAUGGAAGUCAAGUGUUGAGUGUGUGAGGUUCAAGGUGCCAGGUGUUGAGUGGGUGACCUAAAAGCAGUAGGGAUGCACUGCAGUAGGCCUGUCAGCUCAUGCUAGGUUUAUUCUAAUGUUAUGUGAACUAUAGGCAUGGAUAAAAUAAACAUUCCACUAUUUAUCUGUGCCCAUAGCCCAGAUCAUAGCUGUUAGAACAAACAAAACCUUAGCAUGAACCAGGAAGUGGCCUGCUGAUGAUGAUGACUAACUCUCAGGUAAGAAGAGAGGGGGAAAGUUAGGACAGGCAGAGUAGUGCCAGAGGUAGGAUUUAACCCAGCAGCUGAGCAUUUUAUGGCAUGAACUUGCAUCUACCAGCUAUUUCCAACCAAAGUUCAUAGUGUUGAGUUUACUGUUCUACUUGGAAUGGCCUACUUUAAAAAAAAUUUGAACACUUCUUUUGGAAGGUACACGAGUUGUGCAUAAUUGUCAGAGCCUCCAGUGAAUAGUUUCUCAAAGUUUUGGACUUGUCUUGUGAAAUUGUACGAGUCAGCGGAGGUGUAUUUGACAGUUCCAUUGCAGAGUCGAGGGUGGAUUUCUUUGGCAGACAUUGUGUUCUUGUUUGAGGAUGUGGUGAAGAAUCAUAGGUUUUUCAAGAUGAGGGCAAGGUAUGGUUGUUUAUUUCAGUUUCUUCUUCUUCAGAGGUGUGAGAGUCUUGAUAUUCUUGUGGAGUUGCAGUGGGUGUGAAGAUGAUGGUAGGCUGGGCAUGCAGGGUGACUUAGGCAGCUGUGAUUGGAAGAUCUGAUGGGGUAGUGAUGCCUUCUAUGCUGGAGAUUUUCAGUAUAUCUACUGAUGGUACAGUGUCAGGAUAAUUGAAGCUGGGAAGAUUAUUGAAGCAGAAGAGUUCAUUUAUUUUAGAGUUGAAGGUUCCAGGGAAGGUGGCAUUUAUCAUGUGGACAUCAUCUGGGAGUGUUGGAAUAAAGUUGGUAGUAGAGACUGUUGGGUAGCUUGGUGAAUUCUUCAUGUGUCAGUUUAAAGUCCAGUGAUUGCAGCAUAUACUUGGAGGGUGGUCUGGGGAUCAAUACCCCUGCAGCCCAGUCCAUGAUCAGGCCUCAUGGACCUGAUCAACCAGGCUGUUAUUGCUGGCCACAUGCAAACUGGUAUUGAGGAGAUUGGACACUACACUGGUACUAAGGAGGUUGGGCAAUUUCACCUGCUGGGUGGUCAUCAGGAUUGAUGCCAGUCUCUCAUUAUGUCUGAGGUGGUACCACAAAGCAGGUGAAUAUGCACAUGGUGUGCCAUGAUAAUGAUGCUGACAGCCUAGGAGAUAGCAGACUCAGUGAGGUAAUGUGAUCUCUUGGUUCUAGUGACUCCUGCUUUAAUGCUUCUCUGCUGUUUUUAUCUCAUCCACUCAACACCUGACAUGACAGACCAUACACUCUCAGCACCUGACUUCACUGAUGUAGUGCUAUAUAAUUUGAAAUUUUCUGUUAUGCUUUAUGUACUUGACAAAGCCAAUUUGUGGUGAAACAUUGUACAAUAAAAAAUUCUCUGCACUCGAGUGCUCUACCAUACUGUUGGCAUUUUGCCAUCUUUCUGAAAGACGUCUAGUUAUUCCACAUUUUUGGCUCCUUAUUUUUCUUGGGUCUGUAAAGGUUCAAGUGCACACAAAGAACAUCGGCAGUAUUUGCUUCUAAUGUUAUGCUUGUGUGAUACAAUUUUCCUGAGUGUGUCUUAGGCCAAUAUUAGCUUUACAUUGCAGUGUUCUAAUGAUGUGAAGUGAACAGUAGUAUGAAUGGCAUUUAUAUUAAGAAGGUCUGGGAAAUUGAAUAAGGGCGUGGUACGUUGCCUGUAACUGUCCUAUUAAAGCUUAUUGAUCUGACAUAGCCAACUUCAAAUAGCACCAAAAAUGCAAGUACACCAAACUUUGUAUUCUAUAAUAUGUAAUACAGCAUAAGGAGAAAAUAGAAUGAGAGUUCUUCAAGGAUGUUUCAUGCUAUGGUCUAAUAUUGUGAUGGGAGUUCCUGUAAGGAAUUUUCCUGGUUUCAAUUACAGCCUCUCCUCGCUUCAUGAAGGAGUUUCGUUCCUAAGACCAUAUCGGUAAAUGAAUUUGUUGCUAAGUGAAGAGCAUACUAUAAUGGUAGUGGGUUUGUGUCAACCAUCAUUUGAUAAUGUUUUAAUAUUGCCUUUACCUUUGCAUCUUUUUUUUUUUUUUAUAUAUAUAUUCGUUUAUAACAUUUCUGGUAUACAGUGGUACCUGGGGAUACAAAUAGCUCAAAACUCGAACAGUUAUGUAAGUGUAUUUAUGUAAGUGCUUUUGUAAGUGUAUUUUGGGGGGUUUGAAACGGGUUAAUCUAAUUUACAUUAUUCCUCAUGGGAACAAGUUCGUUCGGUAUCAGCAUUCGAACGGCCUUCUGGAACGAAAUAAAUUCAUAUCUCGAGGUACCCCUGUACUUUUAAAUGUUUAUACAGUAGUGUACUGUAUAUUGUAAUAAACAGAAUAGAGGAAAUCAGCUUUAAUAUACAUUAUUUAGGUAUGCAUACUGGUCAGAGAGCCCGUCGUAAGUCCAAGUCAUCGGUAAACAAGUUCAUCACUAAGUGAGGAGAGGCUGUAUUUAUUUAAAUAAAAAUUAUUUUGGUUUAA